GACUCUUAGCAAUAAAUAUCUCAGCUCUCACGUCAAUGAAUAAUAUAGUAAAACGCGAUAACUUAUGUAAAUUACAAAUUUUCCUAAACAUCAAGUUUUUAAAUGCAAGUCGCAAGUUGCAUCUGAAGUUUUUAGGUCG
rnacentral:rRNA from 1 species